ACACGUCUACAUUAGAUACCCCGGUAGUCCCAGCCGUAAACUAUGCGCGUUAGGUGUAUCGGUGACCACGAGUUACCGAGGUGCCGAAGGGAAACCGUGAAACGUGCCGCCUGGGAAGUACGGUCGCAAGGCUGAAACUUAAAGGAAUUGGCGAGGGAGCACCACAACGGGUGGAGCCUGCGGUUUAAUUGGACUCAACGCCGGGAAGCUCACCGGAUAGGACAGCAGAAUGAUUGCCGGGCUGAAGACCCUGCAUGACUAGCUG
rnacentral:rRNA from 1 species